rnacentral:rRNA from 1 species
GACGAACGCUGGCGGCGUGCUUAACACAUGCAAGUCGAACGGAAAGGCCCUGCUUUUGUGGGGUGCUCGAGUGGCGAACGGGUGAGUAACACGUGAGUAACCUGCCCUUGACUUUUGGAUAACUUCAGGAAACUGGGGCUAAUACCGGAUAGGAGCUCCUGCUGCAUGGUGGGGGUUGGAAAGUUUCGGCGGUUGGGGAUGGACUCGCGGCUUAUCAGCUUGUUGGUGGGGUAGUGGCUUACCAAGGCUUUGACGGGUAGCCGGCCUGAGAGGGUGACCGGCCACAUUGGGACUGAGAUACGGCCCAGACUCCUACGGGAGGCAGCAGUGGGGAAUAUUGCACAAUGGGCGGAAGCCUGAUGCAGCAACGCCGCGUGCGGGAUGACGGCCUUCGGGUUGUAAACCGCUUUCGCCUGUGACGAGGCGUGAGUGACGGUAAUGGGUAAAGAAGCACCGGCUAACUACGUG